rnacentral:rRNA from 1 species
UCCUACGGGUGGCAGCAGUAGGGAAUAUUGGACAAUGGGCGAAAGCCUGAUCCAGCAAUGCCGCGUGAGUGAUGAAGGCCUUAGGGUUGUAAAGCUCUUUUACCCGGGAUGAUAAUGACAGUACCGGGAGAAUAAGCUCCGGCUAACUCCGUGCCAGCAGCCGCGGUAAUACGGAGGGAGCUAGCGUUGUUCGGAAUUACUGGGCGUAAAGCGCACGUAGGCGGCUAUUCAAGUCAGAGGUGAAAGCCCGGGGCUCAACCCCGGAACUGCCUUUGAAACUAGAUAGCUUGAAUCCAGGAGAGGUGAGUGGAAUUCCGAGUGUAGAGGUGAAAUUCGUAGAUAUUCGGAAGAACACCAGUGGCGAAGGCGGCUCACUGGACUGGUAUUGACGCUGAGGUGCGAAAGCGUGGGGAGCAAACAGGAUUAGAUACCCUAGUAGUCUU